UCCGUUUGAUUAUAUCGCUAAUGUGAUACACGAUCGAUCGUAACCACGAAAAACAUUGUUGGCGAAAGCAAGCGAACUGCGACUGCAGGCUUUCAGCAAAUUGGGUCGAACUGACCUUUGUACUAAGUGAAAACAACUACCGCUGCACGGCUGCAGAAUUUACGACGAUAAUGGUCAGAGAUAAGUCGGCACAUUACAAGUUUACAUUAGUACGAGCAAUUUGUAUUAGAUAAUGGAAUGGAAUACAAGGAAUAAGAUCAGUUAAAUUUGACGAUCGACAAGGCAGACCUGCGUGACUCAGAGCACAACCAGUUGUAACCGGCUAGACUAGCGGCGCCCGCGC